AUGAAUCUUUUGGCCUGGAACUGUCGAGGCUUGGGGUUGGACUCAACAGUUGGUGAGCUGCAUGACCUGAUACGAUCCCACAACCCAGCGGUGGUGUUUUUGUCUAAAACAAAGAAGAAAGCAAGGGCAAUGGACACGUUGAAAUGGAGUUUGGGGUUCAGGUGUGGUGUGGCUGUGGAUUGUUAAGGGCGUAGUGGUGGUUUGGCCUUAUGGUGGAGGGAUAAUGUGAAUGUUACGGUGAGGCCUUUCUGCCAAUACUUUAUUGAUGCGGAGAUGGUGUGCAAUGGAAAACCCUUAGAUUCACUGGUUUCUAUGGGGAACCAUGCAUGGAGUUGCGGAAGACAUCUUGGGAUGCCAUUAGAUAUUUGA
rnacentral:rRNA from 1 species